UGGGAUGUCGGCUAAUGGCAGGCCGCCGCGCCUUGAACGCGGCUGUCGUGGUUCGAAUCCACGCGUCCCAG
rnacentral:tRNA from 1 species